rnacentral:rRNA from 1 species
UACAGAGGUCUCAAGCGUUGUUCGGAUUCAUUGGGCGUAAAGGGUGCGUAGGUGGCGCUGUAAGUCGGGUGUGAAAUUUCGGAGCUUAACUCCGAAACUGCAUUCGAUACUGCUGUGCUUGAGGACUGGAGAGGAGACUGGAAUUUACGGUGUAGCAGUGAAAUGCGUAGAGAUCGUAAGGAAGACCAGUGGCGAAGGCGGGUCUCUGGACAGUUCCUGACACUGAGGCACGAAGGCCAGGGGAGCAAACAGG